rnacentral:sRNA from 1 species
AAGCAACAAAACCAAGCCUCCAACUUCGCAGUGUAAAGUUGCUGCGUUGUGUAAUCAGUCCGCCGAAACGGAGUUUCUCGCUUUGUUUGUUUUUCUCGGCUUAUUUUUCGGCAACAACAAAAAUAUAUUUUUAAAUUGCUUUAAGCUUGCGGAGUUUUGUGGAAAAAGCUCCACGGCAACAUCAAAACUUGGCAAUUAAAUCAUCGCAGAUAAAGCGUGGCCAAUGACUUGCACUCGAAAAUGUUAAUUGAACCAUGAAGAAGCGUAUAAAUUAGAACUUUGGAAAUAUACAC